CAGCCGCCGCGGUAAUACGAAGGGGGCUAGCGUUGUUCGGAUUAACUGGGCGUAAAGGGUGCGUAGGCGGGUUUUUAAGUCAGGGGUGAAAUCCCGAGGCUCAACCUCGGAACGGCCUUUGAUACUGGAAAUCUUGAGUCUGGGAGAGGUGAGUGGAACUGCGAGUGUAGAGGUGAAAUUCGUAGAUAUUCGCAAAAACACCAGUGGCGAAGGCGGCUCGCUGGCCCGGUACUGACGCUGAGGCACGAAAGCGUGGGGAGCAAACAGGAUUAGAGACCCCGGUAGUCCCUGUCUCUUAUAC
rnacentral:rRNA from 1 species